GACGAACGCUGGCGGCGUGCUUAACACAUGCGAGUCGAACGGAAAGGCCCUGCUUUUGUGGGGUGCUCGAGUGGCGAACGGGUGAGUAACACGUGAGUAACCUGCCCUUGACUUUGGGAUAACUUCAGGAAACUGGGGCUAAUACCGGAUAGGAGCUCCUGCUGCAUGGUGGGGGUUGGAAAGUUUCGGCGGUUGGGGAUGGACUCGCGGCUUAUCAGCUUGUUGGUGGGGUAGUGGCUUACCAAGGCUUUGACGGGUAGCCGGCCUAGAGGGUGACCGGCCACAUUGGGACUGAGAUACGGCCCAGACUCCUACGGGAGGCAGCAGUGGGGAAUAUUGCACAAUGGGCGGAAGCCUGAUGCAGCAACGCCGCGUGCGGGAUGACGGCCUUCGGGUUGUAAACCGCUUUCGCCUGUGACGAAGCGUGAGUGACGGUAAUGGGUAAAGAAGCACCGGCUAACUACGUG
rnacentral:rRNA from 1 species